UCCAAGUGGGGACUAUACAGCCGAAAGGUGU
rnacentral:piRNA from 1 species